GGCGGCGUAGCUCAGCUACGGAGCGUACGGUUCAUACCCGUAAGGUCGGGGGUUCAAGCCCUCCGCCGCUA
rnacentral:tRNA from 1 species